rnacentral:rRNA from 1 species
UACAGAGGUCCCAAGCGUUGUUCGGAUUCAUUGGGCGUAAAGGGUGCGUAGGCGGUGUGGUAAGUCGAAUGUGAAAUCUCGGAGCUUAACUCCGAAACUGCAUUCGAUACUGCCGUGCUUGAGGACUGGAGAGGAGACUGGAAUUUACGGUGUAGCGGUGAAAUGCGUAGAUAUCGUAAGGAAGACCAGUGGCGAAGGCGGGUCUCUGGACAGUUCCUGACGCUGAGGCACGAAGGUCAGGGGAGCAAACGGG